rnacentral:rRNA from 1 species
UACGAACCGUACAAACGUUAUUCGGAAUCACUGGGCUUAAAGAGUCCGUAGGCGGCUUGAAGGGUGAGGUGUGAAAUCCCACGGCCUAACCGUGGAACUGCGCUUCAAACCACCAAGCUAGAGGGAGAUAGAGGAAAGCGGAACUGAUGGUGGAGCGGUGAAAUGCGUUGAUAUCAUCAGGAACACCGGUGGCGAAAGCGGCUUUCUGGGUCUUUUCUGACGCUGAGGGACGAAAGCUAGGGGAGCGAACGGG